rnacentral:rRNA from 1 species
GUGUCAGCCGCCGCGGUAAGACGAACCGUGCGAACGUUGUUCGGAUUCACUGGGCUUAAAGGGCGCGUAGGCGGGCACUCAAGUCAGGGGUGAAAUCUUUCGGCUUAACCGGAAAACAGCCCCUGAUACUGGGUGUCUCGAGGGAGGUAGGGGCAUGUGGAACUUCCGGUGGAGCGGUGAAAUGCGUAGAUAUCGGAAGGAACGCCGGUGGCGAAAGCGACGUGCUGGACCUCUACUGACGCUGAGGCGCGAAAGCCAGGGGAGCAAACGGGAUUAGAAACCCGUGUAGUCC